rnacentral:misc_RNA from 1 species
AAGUCGUAACAAGGUUUCCGUAGGUGAACCUGCGGAAGGAUCAUUAGAAAUGCACUGUCUUUUUCUCCUUUGGAAAACUAAACAUUUUCUUUGGGCUGGAAAACACAUCGUUUCCUGGCUCUCUAAGUCCAGGAGGAAUUUUUAAUUUCUCAUGGGCCUUGCGAGUCGGAUUUCUUUUCAAUGGGAAUUAACAUGGCAAUAUUUAUGUUGCUGUUUGUUGUUCCCUUGAAAUUCAAUCUACACCUAUAAUUUUGUCUGAACCUUUUUAUUAUACUUUGUGUAUUUUCUUUUACGAAAUUACAUGAUUUAUAAACAAAUAAUAUAAAACAACUUUCAACAAUGGAUCCCUCGGUUCUCC